rnacentral:rRNA from 1 species
GGAAUAUUGGACAAUGGGCGCAAGCCUGAUCCAGCAAUACCGCGUGUGUGAAGAAGGCCUUCGGGUUGUAAAGCACUUUCAGUGGGGAGGAAGGCUUAGUGGUUAAUAACCACUAGGAUUGACGUUACCCACAGAAGAAGCACCGGCUAACUCUGUUCCAGCAGCCGCGGUAAUACAGAGGGUGCGAGCGUUAAUCGGAAUUACUGGGCGUAAAGGGGGCGUAGGUGGUUUGAUAAGUCAGAUGUGAAAGCCCCGGGCUUAACCUGGGAACGGCAUUUGAAACUAUUAGGCUAGAGUGCGGUAGAGGGAAGUGGAAUUGCCGGUGUAGCGGUGAAAUGCGUAGAUAUCGGAAGGAACAUCAGUGGCGAAGGCGACUUCCUGGACCAUAACUGACACUGAGGCACGAAAGCGUGGGGAGCAAAC